GACGAACGCUGGCGGCGUGCUUAACACAUGCAAGUCGAACGGAAAGGCCCUGCUUUUGUGGGGUGCUCGAGUGGCGAACGGGUGAGUAACACGUGAGUAACCUGCCCUUGACUGUGGGAUAACUUCAGGAAACUGGGGCUAAUACCGGAUAGGAGCUCCUGCUGCAUGGUGGGGGUUGGAAAGUUUCGGCGGUUGGGGAUGGACUGGCGGCUUAUCAGCUUGUUGGUGGGGUAGUGGCUUACCAAGGCUUUGACGGGUAGCCGGCCUGAGAGGGUGACCGGCCACAUUGGGACUGAGAUACGGACCAGACUCCUACGGGAGGCAGCAGUGGGGAAUAUUGCACAAUGGGCGGAAGCCUGAUGCAGCAACGCCGCGUGCGGGAUGACGGCCUUCGGGUUGUAAACCGCUUUCGCCUGUGACGAAGCGUGAGUGACGGUAAUGGGUAAAGAAGCACCGGCUAACUACGUG
rnacentral:rRNA from 1 species